AGUGAACGCUGGCGGUAGGCCUAACACAUGCAAGUCGAACGGCAGCACAGUAAGAGCUUGCUCUUACGGGUGGCGAGUGGCGGACGGGUGAGGAAUACAUCGGAAUCUACUUUUUCGUGGGGGAUAACGUAGGGAAACUUACGCUAAUACCGCAUACGACCUACGGGUGAAAGCAGGGGAUCUUCGGACCUUUCGCGAUAGAAUGAGCCGAUGUCGGAUUAGCUAGUUGGCGGGGUAAAGGCCCACCAAGGCAACGAUCCGUAGCUGGUCUGAGAGGAUGAUCAGCCACACUGGAACUGAGACACGGUCCAGACUCCUACGGGAGGCAGCAGUGGGGAAUAUUGGACAAUGGGCGCAAGCCUGAUCCAGCCAUACCGCGUGGGUGAAGAAGGCCUUCGGGUUGUAAAGCCCUUUUGUUGGGAAAGAAAAGCAGCAGAUUAAUACCCCGCUGUUCUGACGGUACCCAAAGAGUAAGCACCGGCUAACUUCGUG
rnacentral:rRNA from 1 species